UACAUGGGGUGCAAACGUUGCUCGGAAUUAUUGGGCGUAAAGCGCGCGUAGGCGGUUACUUAAGUCGGAUGUGAAAGCCCUCGGCUUAACUGAGGAAGUGCACCCGAAACUGAGUAGCUAGAGUACGAAAGAGGGUCGCGGAAUUCCCGGUGUAGAGGUGAAAUUCGUAGAUAUCGGGAGGAACACCGGUGGCGAAGGCGGCAUCCUGGACCGGCAUUGACGCUGAGUGAGCGAAAGCCAGGGGAGCAAACGGG
rnacentral:rRNA from 1 species